UACGUAGGGGGCGAGCGUUGUCCGGAAUCACUGGGCGUAAAGGGUACGUAGGCGGCUAGGUAAGUCAGAUGUGAAAGGCAUGGGCUUAACCCAUGUAAGCAUUUGAAACUGCUUAGCUUGAGUCGAGGAGAGGAAGGCGGAAUUCCUGGUGUAGCGGUGAAAUGCGUAGAUAUCAGGAGGAACACCAGUGGCGAAGGCGGCCUUCUGGCCUUGGACUGACGCUGAGGUACGAAAGCGUGGGGAGCAAACAGG
rnacentral:rRNA from 2 species